rnacentral:rRNA from 1 species
GAUGAACGCUAGCUACAGGCUUAACACAUGCAAGUCGAGGGAACGACAUCGAAAGCUUGCUUUUGUAUGGGCGUCGACCGGCGCACGGGUGAGUAACGCGUAUCCAACCUGCCCACCACUUGGGGAUAACCUUGCGAAAGUAAGACUAAUACCCGAUGAUAUCUCUAGACGACAUCUGAAAGGGAUUAAAGAUUUAUCGGUGAUGGAUGGGGAUGCGUCUGAUUAGCUUGUUGGCGGGGUAACGGCCCACCAAGGCAACGAUCAGUAGGGGUUCUGAGAGGAAGGUCCCCCACAUUGGAACUGAGACACGGUCCAAACUCCUACGGGAGGCAGCAGUUGAGGAAUAUUGGUCAAUGGGCGAGAGCCUUGAACCAGCCAAGUAGCGUGCAGGACGACGGCCCUUAUGGGUUGUAAACUGCUUUUAUAAGGGAAUAAAGUGAGUCUCGUGAGACUUUUUUGCAUGUACCUUAUGAAUAAGGACCGGCUAAUUCCGUG